rnacentral:rRNA from 1 species
GACGUAGGAGGCAAGCGUUGUCCGGAGUUACUGGGCGUAAAGCGCGCGCAGGCGGUCACGCAGGUCAUCUGUGAAAGCACCCGGCUCAACCGGGUUGUUGCGGGUGAAACCGCGUGACUUGAGGUCGGGAGGGGCCGGUGGAAUUCCCGGUGUAGUGGUGAAAUGCGUAGAGAUCGGGAGGAACACCCGUAGCGAAGGCGGCCGACUGGACCGAUCCUGACGCUGAGGCGCGAAGGCCAGGGGAGCGAACGGG